AGAGCAGACAGCUGCAGUCUGGUGAACAUGCCCAGCCACUGUGUUUGGCACAGUCUCAAAGGCCACAUUUCUGCAUAGACAUGUGGAAUGCGAAUGGGUGUUCCCCAGCUCCCAGAUUUGGAAUCAAGGGGAGAAAUUCACGAUACCUCAGAACUGACGGUGACUGGUCAGGGGAUUCAGCUGGAUGAGCUGGUGGUGUGGAAGCAGCCUUGCAAGGAGCUUACGGUGUCCCCAACCUGGUUUUACCAGCAUUACCUUUGCUACAGCUAGAACUCAUC